rnacentral:lncRNA from 1 species
GAGAGGAUGCGCCGGAAGAGGAGGCACCAGAUGCAUUGGCGCACAUGCAUUGGGCCUCAAUGAAGAGGCGCCAAUGCUUGUGGCGCCUGCAUGACGUGUGUAUUUCUUUUGAAAAUAAAAUUUAUUUUUGCAACCAACAAGAAUUGAACACUCAACCUUUGGAUCAAUAGUGAAAGAUGUUACCAUUGCACAACAGAACCUUCAUGUUAAUGAGCCAUUGAUCAAUUAUAUUUUUUAAAUUGUAUUAAAAU